rnacentral:lncRNA from 1 species
GCUAAACGAAAAUUUGGCCAGUGUUGAUUUUUUUGAUGAAUUUUUCACCGAAAUUUGUCACUUUUCAUUGGAUUCAGCCGCUGCCAACCUAAAUCUACCUUACGUCGCUGGAAAACAAGAACCAGCAGCUAAUUCCUCAUUGAAUUCAGCCUGUUAGAUUUAAUUUUUGUGAAGUUUCACAUACAGGUUUGGGUUUUUGUCACAAAUUUCUAUUUCGGG